rnacentral:rRNA from 1 species
AACGUGAGUAGAAGGGUCGAGUGUAAAAACCUUGACGUGAAGCAAUUGGAGGGCAAGUUUUGGUGCCAGCAGCCGCGGUAAUUCCAACUCCAAGAGUGUCUAUGGUGGAUGCUGCAGUUAAAGGGUCCGUAGUCGUAGAUGCAAUUAAAGGGUGGUGUUAAAAGCCAUUGAGUUUGUUGAGAGUAGCGGAACGGAUAGGGAGCAUGGUAUAGGUGGGCAAAGAAUGAAAUCUCAAGACCCCACCUGGACCAACGGAGGCGAAAGCGAUGCUCUUAGACGUAUCUGGGGAUCAAGGACGAAGGCUAGAGUAUCGAAAGUGAUUAGACACCGCUGUAGUUCUAGCAGUAAACUAUGCCGACAAUGCUGGGUGUUGCGAGAGCGAUGCUUGGUGUGGGAGAAAUCUUAGUUUUCGGGCUCUGGGGAUAGUACGCUCGCAAGGGUGAAACUUAAAGCGAAAUUGACGGAAGGACACUACCAGGAGUGGAUUGUGCUGCUUAAUUUAACUCAACGCGGGAAAACUUACCAGGGUCAAGUCUAUCGUAGAUUGGAGACAUGAGGUAGACAAGAGUGGUGCAUGGCCGUUGGAAAUUGAUGGGGCGACUUUUAGCUUAAGUGCUGGAACCAGUGAGAUCUUCUAGACAGGUGUUAUUUAGGCACAGGAGGGAGAAGGCAAUAACAGGUCCGUGAU